GCCCUUGUUGUCUAAUGGUUAUGACGUCAGACUUCUAAUCUGGAGGUUGCGGGUUCGAAUCCCGCCAGGGGUU